rnacentral:rRNA from 1 species
ACGAACGCUGGCGGCGUGCCUAAUACAUGCAAGUAGAACGCUGAAGAGAGGAGCUUGCUCUUCUUGGAUGAGUUGCGAACGGGUGAGUAACGCGUAGGUAACCUGCCUUGUAGCGGGGGAUAACUAUUGGAAACGAUAGCUAAUACCGCAUAACAAUGGAUGACCCAUGUCAUUUAUUUGAAAGGGGCAAAUGCUCCACUACAAGAUGGACCUGCGUUGUAUUAGCUAGUAGGUGAGGUAACGGCUCACCUAGGCGACGAUACAUAGCCGACCUGAGAGGGUGAUCGGCCACACUGGGACUGAGACACGGCCCAGACUCCUACGGGAGGCAGCAGUAGGGAAUCUUCGGCAAUGGGGGCAACCCUGACCGAGCAACGCCGCGUGAGUGAAGAAGGUUUUCGGAUCGUAAAGCUCUGUUGUAAGUCAAGAACGAGUGUGAGAGUGGAAAGUUCACACUGUGACGGUAGCUUACCAGAAAGGGACGGCUAACUACGUGCCAGCAGCCGCGGUAAUACGUAGGUCCCGAGCGUUGUCCGGAUUUAUUGGGCGUAAAGCGAGCGCAGGCGGUUUGAUAAGUCUGAAGUUAAAGGCUGUGGCUCAACCAUAGUUCGCUUUGGAAACUGUCAAACUUGAGUGCAGAAGGGGAGAGUGGAAUUCCAUGUGUAGCGGUGAAAUGCGUAGAUAUAUGGAGGAACACCGGUGGCGAAAGCGGCUCUCUGGUCUGUAACUGACGCUGAGGCUCGAAAGCGUGGGGAGCGAACAGGAUUAGAUACCCUGGUAGUCCACGCCGUAAACGAUGAGUGCUAGGUGUUGGAUCCUUUCCGGGAUUCAGUGCCGCAGCUAACGCAUUAAGCACUCCGCCUGGGGAGUACGACCGCAAGGUUGAAACUCAAAGGAAUUGACGGGGGCCCGCACAAGCGGUGGAGCAUGUGGUUUAAUUCGAAGCAACGCGAAGAACCUUACCAGGUCUUGACAUCCCGAUGCUAUUUCUAGAGAUAGAAAGUUACUUCGGUACAUCGGUGACAGGUGGUGCAUGGUUGUCGUCAGCUCGUGUCGUGAGAUGUUGGGUUAAGUCCCGCAACGAGCGCAACCCCUAUUGUUAGUUGCCAUCAUUCAGUUGGGCACUCUAGCGAGACUGCCGGUAAUAAACCGGAGGAAGGUGGGGAUGACGUCAAAUCAUCAUGCCCCUUAUGACCUGGGCUACACACGUGCUACAAUGGUUGGUACAACGAGUUGCGAGUCGGUGACGGCAAGCUAAUCUCUUAAAGCCAAUCUCAGUUCGGAUUGUAGGCUGCAACUCGCCUACAUGAAGUCGGAAUCGCUAGUAAUCGCGGAUCAGCACGCCGCGGUGAAUACGUUCCCGGGCCUUGUACACACCGCCCGUCACACCAUGAGAGCCGGGGGGACCCGAAGUCGGUAGUCUAACCGCAAGGAGGACGCCGCCGAAGGUAAAACUGGUGAUUGGGGUG